ACUGCUCUUUUGUGGGUAGCCCCUUAUUGCUGAUCAGCCAUGACCUCUCAGAUUCGUCAGAAUUAUUCCACCGAGGUGGAGGCUGCUGUAAACCGCUUGGUGAACCUGCACCUGCGGGCCUCCUACACCUACCUCUCUCUGGGCUACUACUUUGACCGAGAUGAUGUGGCUCUGAAGGGCGUGGGCCAUUUCUUCCUUGAGCUGGCCAAGGAGAAAUGCGAGGGAGCCGAGCAUCUCCUGAAGACGCAAAACCGGCGCGGCGGCCGUGUACUCUUUCAAGACGUGCACAAACCAUCUGAAGAUGAGUGGGGUAAAACCUUGGAUGCCAUGGAAGCUGCCCUGGCCCUGGAGAAGAACCUGAACCGAGCUCUUCUGGACCUUCAUGCUUUGAGCUCUGUCAAGACCGACCCCCGUAUCUGUGAUUUCCUGGAGAACCACUUCCUAGAUGAGGAGGUGAAUCUCAUCAAGAAGAUAGGUGACCACCUCACCAACCUCCGCAGGCUGGCGAGCCCCCAGGCUGGCUGGGCGAGUACCUCUUUGAAAGGCUCACCCUUGAA